CGCUGAGUCCGGGGUCGUCCGCGACACCGGAGCCGGGGAACCAACCACAUCUGGGGUGAAUCCCGCACGAGGGGCCCCUCUGCCCGUCCAACGGACGGCGGGGGAGCAGGGAGUGCGAGUAGGGCAAGUCGUGCCCGAACCCGUCAGCUCACCCGGUAGGCGUA
rnacentral:sRNA from 2 species